rnacentral:sRNA from 1 species
GUAAGGAGCUGGUGGCACAUUCCAGUGAUUUGUUGGAUGGCCAGUUGCGCUUGCGUCAGCGCUUGGCCGUGCGCGCGCACCUGGCCAUGUGUUUGCGUUGCCGGCGUUUCAUCAAGCAGAUGCGCCUGAGCCAGGCCGUGUUGCGCCAACUGCCGCAAGCGCCGAUCUCCGAACUUGAUGCCCUGGCCGCCAAGUUGGCCGAGUUGCGGCGCCUGCAGCGUUGAGAGAGUCUCCUGGG